GGCCCAGUCGCACUUGGUGUGCAUCUGCUUUCAAUGCAGGACGUGGUACAGAUUGAAGCAGAAAAACCUGGUUCGAAUCCAGGCUGGGUCA